rnacentral:snRNA from 1 species
AAAUAUGCGCAGUGACAGUAUCAUAACCAAUGAAGUUAAUCUGAGGUGUGAUUAUUGCUAGUUGAAAUCUUCUCUGAUUUAGUUUCAGUCAGUGUCAAUUACAAAGUUUCUGGAAGCAUUUGAAGAG